AAUUUUAUUUGCGGACAUGUAAUUUUGCCGUCAGCUGAUUUGUGAUUUCGUUGUUCUGAUAAACAUACAUAAAUAUGACGAUUUACAAGACCGAAGCACGAAUUUAUUCCCCAAAGGCUGUUAAAGAUAUAUCAUCACAGCCGCUUGAGCAACAAUGCAAAGAUUGCGAAGACAUCGGGUGCCAUGAAGCAGAUUGUCAAUUUGACUGUGA